GCAUCGAUGAAGAACGCAGCGAAGUGCGAUAAGCAAUGCGAAUUGCAGAACCGUGAGUCAUCAGAUUUUUGAACGCAACUGGCGCUGGCUGGAUCUCCAGCCAGCAUGCUUGUUUCAGUGUCUUGUUUUCUCCUCACCCAAAGCUUAAUGCGAGAGAUACCCUUCUCUUGCCAAGCACGAAAGCACUCUGCGCUCUGCGAGCGGCUUCUUGACUAGCUCAAGGGUCGCACUCAAUGCAGCCGUCACAUUUCUCACAAUGUGAACUCAUUGAGAGCAGAGGCUGUCAGCUCACGCUGUCAGUGCUUAGUCACUUAAACUUUCUUUGCAUCUGAAAUCAAGCAGGAUCACCCGCUGAACUUAAGCAUAUCAAUAAGCGGAGGA
rnacentral:misc_RNA from 1 species